UGCCUCAGUAACGGCGAGUGAAGCGGCAACAGCUCAAAUUUGAAAUCUGGCCGCAAGGUCCGAGUUGUAAUUUGCAGAGGAUGCUUUUGGCGAGGUGCCUUCCGAGUUCCCUGGAACGGGACGCCAUAGAGGGUGAGAGCCCCGUACGGUAGGACCACCGAGCCUUUGUAAAGCUCCUUCGACGAGUCGAGUAGUUUGGGAAUGCUGCUCUAAAUGGGAGGUGUACGUCUUCUAAAGCUAAAUACCGGCCAGAGACCGAUAGCGCACAAGUAGAGUGAUCGAAAGAUGAAAAGCACUUUGAAAAGAGGGUUAAAAAGUACGUGAAAUUGUUGAAAGGGAAGCAUUCAUGACCAGACUUGGGCUUGGUUGAACAUCCGGCGUUCUCGCCGGUGCACUCUGCCAGUCCAGGCCAGCAUCAGUUUGCCCCGGGGGACAAAGGCGGUGGGAAUGUGGCUCUCUCCGGGGAGUGUUAUAGCCCGCCGUGUAAUGCCCUGGGGCGGACUGAGGAACGCGCUUCGGCUCGGAUGCUGGCGUAAUGGUCAUCAAUGACCCGUCUUGAAACACGGACCAAGGAGUCGUCUUCGUAUGCGAGUGUUCGGGUGUCAAACCCCUACGCGAAAUGAAAGUGAACGUAGGUGAGAGCUUCGGCGCAUCACCGACCGAUCCUGAUGUUCUC
rnacentral:rRNA from 1 species